UACGGAGGGUGCAAGCGUUGCUCGGAAUUAUUGGGCGUAAAGGGCAGGUAGGUGGUCUCAUUUGUCCGGGGUGAAAUCCUUGAGCUUAACUCAAGAAGUGCCCCGGAGACGGUGAGACUAGAGUUUUGGAGAGGGUCGUGGAAUUCCCGGUGUAGCGGUGAAAUGCGUAGAGAUCGGGAGGAACACCAGAGGCGAAAGCGGCGACCUGGACAAUGACUGACACUCAACUGCGAAAGCGUGGGGAGCAAACAGG
rnacentral:rRNA from 1 species